GUCAGCGCCCCGGGUGGCGCCGCCUCCGCCCGCCGGCCUGGGCCCCGCUCCCGCCGCCGGGAAGGCGGGCCGCGGUAGAAGCUGGGGGCUGCCUUGCUUCCUCGUACGAUCCGGUGAACUUUCCCGAUGCUCCGGCAAAAGUCAGGGGACCCGAGAGUGAACUGUUUGUUGUAGGACACAGCUUACCUGGGAUUGGUGCCGCCCAGGACCCCUUAUUACAACCCAUAGACCCACAGACCUUAGGAGCGGAGGACAGUCCAGUGAGUCGCAACUGAGCCACAGGACUGCUGGGGAAGACAAGGGGUUAUGUUGUCGCUCUCGCCCCUGCAGUCUUGCUCUGAACUGGCUCCCUGGUCUCACCUGUCCUGCUUAGAGCUUUUUUGUUGGUUGGUUGGUUGGUUGUUUGGUUGGUUGGUGAGAUAUGAAUGAGGGUCCUUCUCUGUCCCCUACCCAGGUCGACCCUGAUGAGCAGGGCCAUAUAUUUAGGAAGAAAGCUGUCUGCUAGAUCUGCUUCCCCUUUGCCUGUCCCCACACAAUACGUGGAGAUGCUAGUCUCUGCAGAUACAUUCCAGAGUUUCAGACCUCUGCUUACCUUGACAAGGCAGAGUCCCAGUUAUCCCUGCCCAGAGUGCGGCUGCCAAUCAGCUCCAUUGCUGGCAACUCAGAGGAUAGCCUGUUAUGGAAUCUGCCCUCAACCAACCCCCACCCUUCCCAAAUAGGUAAACCCAGGGCCACAAAUCAGGAUCCGAACCAGGGCAAGCACUGUGUAACCUAAGGGCACACAUGUGGCAGGGGAGAUAGGAAAUUGGGGCGGGGGGCGCAGACAGGUUACCCCGUCAACCUGUACACAAUGAAUUCAUUUCAAGCUACCUGCCUGAACUCCAGCUGUCCCCUUGGGUCUCCUCUGUACUGGAUGGUCCUUCCCCUUACAAGGCAAGAAACAGCUGUUAAUCCCCUGUCCCUGUCACCAGGCAUGUGUCCUGGUGGGGUAGGCACUGCCCUGUUACCUAAGGCACUCUCCCCAAGAGGUGGUGCAGUUGUCAUUCAGCAGAAGUGAAAACUGAAGCUCAGAGCAGUUAAAUGCAGAAGGGAAGUAGCCUACCAAAGGUGGGGGCAGAGGGAGCAAGGGAAGAGGACACCCCUGCCCAAGUCCCGAACCUGUUCCUCUCACCUCACCUUUCCCCCAGAAAGCCUGUUCUCCUUCUGGUGGGGUACUGACCACUGGGUGCCUCCAUUUACUCUCCUUAUCUUCUGACAUUCUCUCUGGCAGCCAGCUGUGCCCACUACAGCUGCCCCUGUGCUUGGGGAUCAGGUACCCUGAUUCUCAGAGCCCUCCCGAAGCUGCUGAGCUAUACAGCAGUACAGACCCUACCCCAGGCCUCUGGCCCUAACUUCUGUUUGUUUUCUCCAUCCCUUCUCCCACCUCCUAGCCUUAGAUGUUUAUUGAGCACCUACUCUAUGCUGACAGCUGUACACCAGCACUCGGCUUUCCUGUUCAUCCUGGAGUAGAAAGAACCAGGGAUGGACUUAGAUCUGAGUCAGCGAUGGGAGAAAGAAUGAGAAGGCUGAAUGAACAGAUGAGUCAUCCUCUGAGAACAUGACCCAGGAGAGGGGACAAGGUGCUCCUGCUAGCAACAAGAGGUAGAGAUGCUCCGGAGCGGGGGUGGGGGUGGGGGGCAGUGUGGUCUGGUGGCCCCCUCUACUGGAGCUUCCUGCCCACCCCCCCCUCGCUCCUCAGGGCUCAGCUCCAGCUCAGCAGCCACACCUGUUCCCACACCACCACUCACAUGCCCAUUGGCUAGCCUGUGGCCCUAUAAGGGGCAAUGGCUCACAGGUAUGUGGUCUCCACAUCAGCUUCGUAUCCAGGCACUCCAGUGACACCAUGACUUUGGUACUGCACAGCAGCCCCCAGCUUCUUGGCACAGACAAGUCUGCCUCCACGGAGGUAUACAGAGGCAACUCUGUUGUCUUGCUUGUAAAUAUCAGAGUUACCCAGAAUCAUUCCUAAAGUGCCGGCUUCCUUGUUUGUUUAGUUUGUCUUUCCAUGUAUUUAUUUAGGGUAUGUGUGUGUGUGACCGUGCUCAUGUCACAGAACAGCAGUAGUCAGUUCCCUCUGCCUUGUGGGUCCCAGGGACUGAACUCAGGUUGUCAGGCUUAGUGGCGAGCACUUUACUGGCUGAGCCCUCUCAUCUGGCCCCUCCUUAGCAGAGCCAUUUGACCCCUUUCUUGAGAAUUCUGCCCUGAGUGAGCCAGCUGUCCUGGGCUCUCUGUUAUGUCUGGGCGCGCUGAUGUUGCGUGCUUUGCUUGAUCACUUUGCUUUUCGUAAGCUCUGUAAGGAAGUGUGAGUCUUCUAACUUUUAUAAGAUUACUGUGGCUAUUUGUGGUUCCCUAACAUUCCAUACUAAUUUUAGCAUAGAUUUUUCUUCCUUAAAAGUUUGUUUCUGGGGCUGCUGAGAUAGUUCAGUGGGUAAGAGCAUGUACUGUUCUUACAGAAGACCAGAGUUCAACUCCCAGCACUCACAUUGGCAGCUUACAACUUGUAACUCCAGCUCCAGGGGAUUCCCCUAACCUCAUGCAUACUAGAACACACACACACAGUGCAUGUAAAAAUAAUAACAUUUAAAAAUUUUUUAAAUGAUUUAUGUAUUUAUUAUAUGUAAGUACACGGUAGCUGUCUUCAGAUACCCCAGAAGAGGGCAUCAGAUCUUAUUACAAAUAGUUGUGAGCCACCAUGUGGUUGCUGGGAUUUGAACUCAGGACCUAUCAGAAGAGCAGUCAGUGCUCUUAACUGCUAAGCCAUCUCUCAGUCCCCAACAUUUUUUUUUUAAGUUUGUUUCCUAGGCUGGGUGGUGGUGGUAGCACAGGGCCUUUAAUCCAAGCACUUAGGAGGCAGAGGCAGAUGGAUCUCUGAGUUGGAGGCCAGCCUAGUCUACAGAGUAAGUUUCAGGAUAGUCAGGGCUAUACAGAGAAACCCUUUCUCAAAAAACCAAAAAAAAAAAAAAAAAAAGAAAGAAAGAAAGAAAGAUAAGUUAGUUUGUUUCCUGUGGAGCCUGGUAAAGUGUUUAUCACACAAGCCUGGCAACUUGAGUUGGAUAGAGUCUUUAGAACCUAUAUUAAGGUGAAUGAGAGAACUCCACAAAAUUAACUUCUGAUCACCACACAGUGCCAUGUCACAUACACAUGUGUGUACACCCAUUUGCACACACACACACCUUUUAAAGAUUUAUUUUUGAAAAAAAAUGAUAUUUUGAAAUGUAAAAAUAUCUCUAGAUUUUCUAUCUAUCUAUCUGUCUAUCUAUCUAUCUAUCUAUCUAUCUAUUUUGGGGAGGAGAGAACAACUUUGGGGAGCCAGUUUCUCUCUUUCUACUAUAGAAUGCGUGCCUGGGGAUCCAGGUCAGCUGGUCAGACUUGGCUGUUAGCACCAUUACCUGCUGCAGCCCUCUACAUUGUUCUUAAGCGAUUGUGUAUGAAGUUCCCAAAUUGGUGAGCAGUCUGUCUUUUCAUGUAAUUACUUGGAGGUAAGUCUGGUCAGCUUAUUUGCCUUGCUUCCUUGCUCUAGAGUAGGUUUGUUUGUUUGUUUGGUUUUUGUUUUUACAUUCAUUGACUUUGUGUGUGUGCAAAUGGGGGUUCAGAGUACAACGUGGAAGUGCCUAUUCUCCCCUGCAUGUGGAUCCCAUCAAGGUUGGAGGCAGCAGACACCUUUGCCUACUGAGCCAUUGCAGUGGUCCAUUGACUUUAUAUUUACUUGCCUGUAUGUAUGCAUUUUUCCUUUUUAUCUUUUUUAAUUGUAUGGGUAUUUUGUCUACAUGUAGGUCUGUACAUCAGCUGUGUUCCUGGUGCCUGUGGAGGCCAGAAGAGAAUGUCAGAUCUUCUAAGGCUGGGGAUGCAGACUCUUGUGAGCUGCCAUGUGAGUGUGGGACUUGAACAGCAGCCAAAUACUUUUAACCCCUGAGCCAUCACUUCAGCAUCUCCCCCACACCUUCUUUAAAACAGUCUCUUGUAACCAUAACUGAAAACUAUCUUGAAGCCUGAAUACUCCCACUGCUAUCUUGAGUGUGUGGCUUAGCAUCAUGUAUCACGCCUGGUCUAUGGGGUUCUGGAGUUGAAACAGGACUUCCUGCGUGCUAGGAAAACACUUUCCAACCAAGAUACAUCUCUACCAGAAUUCCUUUUUUGGUAUUUUUUGUUUGUUUGGGGUUUUUUUUUUGGGGGGGGGGUUUGUUUUGGGUUUUUUUGGUAUGCUGUUUAUUGUUAGUAUAUGGAAACAAAACUGAUUUUCAGUGUU